GUUCAAAAGAGGAAAGGCUUGCGGUGGAUACCUAGGCACCCAGAGACGAGGAAGGGCGUAGCAAACGACGAAAUGCUUCGGGGAGUUGAAAAUAAGCAUAGAUCCGGAGAUUCCCAAAUAGGUCAACCUUUUAAACUGNNUGCUGAAUCCAUGAGCAGGCAAGAGACAACCUGGCGAACUGAAACAUCUUAGUAGCCAGAGGAAAAGAAAGCAAAA
rfam:Hordeum vulgare subsp. vulgare, WGS project CAJW01000000 data, contig: morex_contig_1512558